rnacentral:piRNA from 1 species
UGAGACUUCGUGGUGGUAGGAAA